rnacentral:lncRNA from 1 species
AAAAAUUGGACCUUUAAAAAAACACUAGAUCUUAAUAAAAAAAAUUACGAAACUGGUAAAAAUUAAAAUCUGGAACAGAUAUUUAUUGCAGAAUGCAAUGAUUUUUCGGCAAUCAUGCAAGUUGUGGACAGCUCUUUACAAAAGUUCACACCUCAAACUACAGCAGGAAAAUAAACUUUCCAAUACACACACCUGAAAGCUUUGCUUCAAAUUGAUAAUAGCUUUUAUCCUGGACACUCACCGCAGUAGGAAUGCGUGGUGUGCAAUAUUAUAAUAGAGGAGAAAAGCAAGUCGCGACAAAAUUUUGAGGCUAGGAAUUUUGACAGAUAUGAUUUUCAUAAAGUAUUCGCCUCCUUUGCUCUCCCACAGAAAACUGGGGACAAUGUAACUGUCAAACUAGGCCAAAAUGUUAAAGUUACUCACAAAAUGAACUUUGAGUGAUUUGAGUUCAUUUCUGACGUCACGAUUUUCUCCUCUAUUGUGCAAAUUUGAGGUGUGAAAAUUUACUGACUGUGCAUCGGAUUAGGUGCAGAAUUUGAUAUAAUGAUUGAUCAUUAUUCUGUCUAAAGCGGUAUACGCACUUCGGAAGGAACCGUUCAAGAAAAAAAUCAAAUGGGCAGCAGCGGCAGCGCAAGCAAGUCAAAGAGGGUGAAGAAAAGCCCCAAGAAAUCGAUCCCUCUCCUUUGUUCUGCUGUUCGUAAAGCUGUUUCUUGACCGCUUUCUUUCCGAUCUCCAUACUAGCCUUAGCACAUGAAAAAUCUGGCAUUCUCAGAAAUCUGCAGCGGGAAGUUGUCUGCAGCUUACUUUGACAAGGACUCCGACAUUUCAUCACUCACCUGUCUACUUAAUUGUCAGGUCAUUGAUACAAAACGUCAGCGUGUUGUUUAUAAACAUUGAUGUGGCAAAGGCAUCAAAAACAGUUCGUGCUGCUCUUGCUGUUUGGUUCCACUGUGUUGUGGCCAGAUUUUUGCAGUGGGUGAUAUCGAUUCCUGCGAGUGUUGUUCCGGAAGCAGGUGUUGAAUAUUGUUUUGGAGUGUCUUGUUGGAUCGAUUCCGCUUGGAAGCAGCAGAAGAUGAAGGAGGAGCAGCAGCUGCAACCAACUCGAAAUUAUGGACGGGACGAUUGAGGAGAACGGCAACGGAAUGCCGCUGCUGGCCGGGACUUCGCUGGAGGAUGGGAAUAACGAUAUAUAUUGUUUUACGCUAUUCGCUGGCGCUGGGAUCUGCAUCUGCCAUUAGUGUGUGCGGGGGUGGUAAGAGAAAGCGGUAUGAUCUGUUCGUUUUUGUCCUUUGUAACUGGACAUUUCCGAUGCCUUAAGCGAGAAGGAGCGGGUCAAAUUUACCGUCCACACGCGCGCCAACCUUCCCAGAUACGCCAAGUCGGACUUUUUGGUGGUGCCGCAGCACGAAGAGUUUGUGUGGCUGCACGACCGGUUAGAGAAGAACGAAGAGUACGCCGGGUACAUCAUUCCGCCGAAAUCCGCGGCCGGAUUUCGACGCGUCCCGGGAGGAACUGCAGUGGCUGGGCGAGGGCGAAGGCAACAUGACCAAGGAGGAGUUCAAAAAGGUAAAGGAGGAACUGGAGGCGGAAUAUCUGGUGACGUUCAAAAAGACGGUGACCAUGCAAGAGGUGUUUCUCACGUGACUGGCCUCCCAUCAGGUGUUCCGGAACGAUUCCCACUUGAAAGUUUUUCUCGAAUUCGACCAGGAUCUGUGCGCCAAGCUGAA